GUACAUUAGACAUUCAAUAUAUAAGACUGGAGUGAGACUGAUUAGGCAUUUAAAUAUGUUGCAGGAUGUUGUUUGAAUUACUUGUCCUAACAGGUGCACAAGUUGGGAUGGAUUGGACUUCUAUCUUGAGAAAACACCAUGAUUUCAGGGCUGCUUUCGCCGGGUUUGAUGCAGAAAUCGUUGCCAACUUCACAAAAAGACAAAUAGCAUCAGUGGCCACAGAUUGCAACUUGGAUUUAAACACGGUUCGAGGUGCCGUCAACAAUACUAACAGAAUCCUCCAGGUCA